UGCAAGUCGAACGGUGAUGUCAGAGCUUGCUCUGGCGGAUCAGUGGCGAACGGGUGAGUAACACGUGAGUAACCUGCCCCCGACUCUGGGAUAACUGCUAGAAAUGGUAGCUAAUACCGGAUAUGACGAUUGGCCGCAUGGUCUGGUCGUGGAAAGAAUUUCGGUUGGGGAUGGACUCGCGGCCUAUCAGGUUGUUGGUGAGGUAAUGGCUCACCAAGCCUACGACGGGUAGCCGGCCUGAGAGGGUGACCGGCCACACUGGGACUGAGACACGGCCCAGACUCCUACGGGAGGCAGCAGUGGGGAAUAUUGCACAAUGGGCGAAAGCCUGAUGCAGCAACGCCGCGUGAGGGAUGACGGCCUUCGGGUUGUAAACCUCUUUUAGUAGGGAAGAAGCGAAAGUGACGGUACCUGCAGAAAAAGCACCGGCUAACUACGUGCCAGCAGCCGCGGUAAUACGUAGGGUGCAAGCGUUGUCCGGAAUUAUUGGGCGUAAAGAGCUCGUAGGCGGUUUGUCGCGUCUGCUGUGAAAUCCCGAGGCUCAACCUCGGGUCUGCAGUGGGUACGGGCAGACUAGAGUGCGGUAGGGGAGAUUGGAAUUCCUGGUGUAGCGGUGGAAUGCGCAGAUAUCAGGAGGAACACCGAUGGCGAAGGCAGAUCUCUGGGCCGUAACUGACGCUGAGGAGCGAAAGCAUGGGGAGCGAACAGGAUUAGAUACCCUGGUAGUCCAUGCCGUAAACGUUGGGAACUAGAUGUGGGGACCAUUCCACGGUCUCCGUGUCGCAGCUAACGCA
rnacentral:rRNA from 1 species